ACUCAAAUGAAUUGACGGGGGCCCGCACAAGCAGCGGAGCGUGUGGUUUAAUUCGAUGCAACACGCAGAACCUUACCUAGACUUGACAUGACGGUGUAAGGCCCGGAAACGGGUGCCCUCUUCGGAGCACCGCCACAGAUGUUGCAUGGCUGUCGUCAGCUCGUGUCGUGAGAUGUUGGGUUAAGUCCCGCAACGAGCGCAACCCUCGUGAACUGUUGCGAUGUCAGUUCAGACUGCCUACCAAAUAGGAGGAAGGUGGGGAUGACGUCAAGUCCGCAUGGCUCUUACGUCUAGGGCUACACACACGCUACAAUGGUCAGGACAAUGCGCAGCGACCGCGCGAGCGGAAGCGAAUCGCCGAAAACUGAUCUCAGUUCGGAUGGCAGGCUGCAACUCGCCUGCCUGAAGGCGGAGUUGCUAGUAACCGCGUGUCAGCAUAGCGCGGUGAAUAUGUUCCCGGGCCUUGCACACACCGCCCGU
rnacentral:rRNA from 1 species